GGAUGCGAUCAUACCAGCCACUAAUGUACCGGAUCCCAUCAGAAGUCCGAAGUUAAGUGUGCUUGGGCGAGAGUAGUACUAGGAUGGGUGACCUCCUGGGAAGUCCUCGUGUUGCAUUCCCA
rnacentral:rRNA from 2 species